GAAGGACCCCAACACUAUGGGGAAGGAUCCCAAAGUGAUGGGGAACAACCCCAAAACAAUGGGGAACAACCCCAAAACGAUGGGGAACUCCCCAACAGUGUCAAGGAAUGACCCCAAAACGAUGGGGAACAACCCCAAAGUGAUGGG